rfam:Schistosoma haematobium scaffold1006_39, whole genome shotgun sequence.
AUCCAGCUGACGAGUCCCGAAGCGGAUGAAACGCGCGUCCUAAAU